ensembl:lncRNA
AUGGUAUCAGGCUGCACUCUGAAGUCCUCCUUACCAGUGCAGAUGGUCUUUUGUCUGUCACAAGCUAGCUCAGUGAGAUUUGUUGAUGUGUCUGCAUUUGCCAGUCCAGGAUUCAAAGUUCCUCCUACAAUUGAUGCUCUGACUUUUUCUUUCCAUUUAUAUAUUAUAUUUAUAUAUUUCAGUAUCUUUUUCGGCAGCAACAUGAAAGGAGUACCACUGUUUCAGGAACCAUGUUUCUUUGAAAGUUGUGUCUCACUUAAAGUUGUAUAUAGUGUACUAGUGGGCUAAUGUGGAACAAUAGUUGUAUAUGAAACAUAUGUUUAUAUGUAUGUGUAUACAGCAUAAUUCAAUUUCAGUACAAAGACAUGCACAAAUUGUGGAAUGAACACUGUUUUUAAUAAUAUUUACUCAAAACUCACUAAAACACUUAAGAACAGAAAGCGUGCACUAUCCGUUGUAAAAUCUGUUGUUAAUUUUGGAUCUGUUACAUGAGCGAAAUGCCACUACUGUUAAUAAACAAAUUAAUAAGCCAGGCA